rnacentral:rRNA from 1 species
AGGAUAAACGCUGGCGGCGUGCCUAACACAUGCAAGUCGAACGCGCUUUCGGGCUUCGGUGCGAGAGCGAGUGGCGGACGGGUGAGUAACACAUGGGUACCUACCUUGGAGUGAGGGAUACCGGCGAGAAAUCGCCGACAAUACCGCAUAGGCUUCUUCACAAGGGAAGCAAAGUGACGCGAGUCACGCUUUGAGAUGGGCCUGUGGCCGAUUAGCUAGUUGGGGGGGUAACGGCUUCCCAAGGCGACGAUCGGUAGCUGGUCUGAGAGGACGAUCAGCCACACUGGGAUUGAGAACGGCCCAGACUCCUACGGGGGGCAGCAGUGAGGAAUUUUCGGCAAUGGGGGCAACCCUGACCGAGCAACGCCGCGUGCAGGACGACGGCCUUCGGGUUGUAAACUGCUUUUCUCUGGGACGAGAACGGACGGUACCAGAGGAAGAAGCCCCGGCUAACUACGUGCCAGCAGCCGC